AAAGGAAAUGGUGAAAGAAAUGAAAAAUAAAUAAAUAAAGAGAAUGCAAAUGCAUAACACUUUGUUUGAAAAAAAAAAUGAAUAAAAAAAAAAUUGUCGAGGGACUUCUUUGUGAAAAAAAAAUGUGACCAUGGAAUGAGUUCACACAUUGUGAAUUCAUUUGCAUGAAAAAAAAAAAUUGUGAAAACUAAGUUCUCUAGUAUGAAUGUGAUGAUUUUUGGGAGAUCAAUUGAUUUGUCCACUUUUGUUUGAAAUAGGUGAUCUUAUAAGCUUCAAGUUUUUCUACCUAGUUUCCCCAAAAAUAUCCACCCUUCAAUAAACCUAAGCCACGCUAUAACCCGAAAAGUCCUGGAAAGGUACAUAUUCAUUGUAUGUUGAUCGAUUUUUAGAGUCCUUGCAAGCCUAUGGUAGAAAGGUGUAGAUUGUGUUGAUUGAGUGUAUAUCCCUAAACACUUGAGAGAAUUUUGGUGAGAUUGUGUGAAGAGAGAAUUGAGCUUGAUGGAUGAAUGUUGGAUGAAUUUUUGAAUUUUGGAUUGGUUGUUAGUAGAUGAAAGUGACCUUGAGCAUGAUAAUUUUUGUAAAAUGACAUGUUUUGUUCUUAUUGAUUACGGAGAUAGAUUAACAUGAAUGUUUGGUUUGGUGUUUGAGGUUGAGUUGCACUCUUUUGAAAGCAUUGUUCCUCGAGGACAAGCAACAGAUUAAGUUUGGGGUUGUGAUGAAUCCUCAUCGGUAGUUAUUUUU
rnacentral:lncRNA from 1 species